ensembl:snRNA Gm23194 predicted gene, 23194
AGCACAGUGGUGCAGCUUAUUACUAAAAUUGGAAAAACACAGAGAGGAUCAGCGCAGCCUCUUUGCAAGGAUAACACACACAUUCACAACACUUCUAUGAUUCUA